UAAAGCAAGAAAGGGCGUAUGGGGAAUGCCUAGGCACACUCCGGCGAAGAAGGACGCAGCAAACAGCGAAAUGCGACGGUGAGCGGUAAGCACGUGAAGAGCCGUCGAUAUCCGAAUGGGGGAACCCACACGGAGUCAUAUCCGUGUAUCACAUGUCGAAUACAUAGACAUGAUGAGGCGAGACGCAGGGAACUGAAACAUCUAAGUACCUGCAGGAAGAGAAAAUAAGAAUGAUUUUCUGAGUAGCGGCGAGCGAAAGGGAAAGAGCCCAAACCGAUCUGAGGAUCGGGGUAGUAGGAUCAUCGAGAAAUCAAACAGAGGAUCAUAGAGGAAUCACAUGGGAAGGUGAGCGAGAGAGGGUGAGAGCCCCGUACUCGAAAUGAGAGACUGGAGAGAGAUGACACCUGAGUAGGGCGGGACACGAGAAAUCCUGUCUGAAUCAGCCGGGACCAUCCGGCAAGGCUAAAUACGAGAGAGUGACCGAUAGUGAACCAGUACCGUGAGGGAAAGGUGAAAAGAACCCCGGGAGGGGAGUGAAAGAGAACCUGAAACCAUAUGCCUACAAGAAGUCAGAGCCCGUUAAAGGGUGAUGGCGUGCCUUUUGUAGAAUGAACCGGCGAGUUACUGUAUGGAGCGAGGUUAAGCAGGAUAUGCGGAGCCGAAGCGAAAGCGAGUCUUAAGAGGGCGCGAGUUGCAUGCAGUAGACCCGAAACCGGGUGAUCUAGCCAUGACCAGGUUGAAGUUGGGGUAAAACCCGAUGGAGGACCGAACCGACCCCCGUUGAAACGUUGGCGGAUGAGUUGUGGCUAGGGGUGAAAUUCCAAUCGAACCCGGAGAUAGCUGGUUCUCCCCGAAAUAGCUUUAGGGCUAGCGUCGAGAGAAGAGUUGCGUGAAGGUAGAGCACUGAAUAUGUGAUGGCCCCAUCUCGGGGUACUGAGCAUAAUCAAACUGCGAAUGUCACGCCAACAUGCUCGGCAGUCAGACAGCGGGUGAUAAGGUCCGUUGUCAAGAGGGAAACAGCCCAGACCAUCAGCUAAGGUCCCAAAAUGUAUGCUAAGUGGAAAAGGAUGUGGAGAUGUACAGACAACUAGGAGGUUGGCUCAGAAGCAGCCAUCCUUUAAAGAGUGCGUAACAGCUCACUAGUCGAAUGACUCUGCGCCGAUAAUUUACCGGGGCUAAGCAUACUACCGAAGCUAUGGAUCCCAAGGGAUGGUAGGGGAGCGUUCCAUGAACGGAGAAGUACGACCGAAAGGACGUGUGGAGAUCAUGGAAGAGAGAAUGCCGGUGUGAGUAGCGGAACGUGGGUGAGAAUCCCACGCACCGAAAACCCAAGGUUUCCAGAGGAAGGUUCGUCCGCUCUGGGUAAGUCGGGACCUAAGGCGAGGCCGAAAGGCGUAGUCGAUGGACAACAGGUAGAGAUUCCUGUACCCGUAUAUAUGUGAAGGAAUGACGGAGAGAGGAAGCUGCAGCCAGCGGCUGGAAGAGCUGGUGCAAGCGAGAUAUCGGGAUGGCAGGCAAAUCCACCAUCCGAAACGAGAAGGCGUGAAGCGUACGGAAAGCUACGGCGAGUACGGAAGGCAGUGGAGGAACUUCCAAGAAAAGUUUCUAACGUUAAGUAUAUAUGGCCCGUACCGAAAAUGGACACACAUGGGUGAGGAGAGAAUCCUAAGGUGAGCGAGAGAACUAUAGCUAAGGAACUCUGCAAAAUGACUCCGUAACUUAGGGAGAAGGAGUGCUCAUAGAGAUAUGAGCCGCAGUGAAACGGCCCAAGCGACUGUUUACCAAAAACACAGCUCUCUGCUAAGCCGCAAGGCGAAGUAUAGGGGGUGACGCCUGCCCGGUGCUGGAAGGUUAAGGGGAGGGGUUAACGCAAGUGAAGCCCUGAACUGAAGCCCCAGUAAACGGCGGCCGUAACUAUAACGGUCCUAAGGUAGCGAAAUUCCUUGUCAGGUAAGUUCUGACCCGC
rnacentral:rRNA from 1 species